GUCUAUGGCCAUGCCAUCCUGAACAAGCCCGAUCCCGUCUGAUCUCAGAAGCUAAGCAGGGUCGGGCCUGGUUAGUACUUGGAUGGGAGACCACCUAGGAAGACCAGGUGCUGUAGGCU
rnacentral:rRNA from 1 species